rnacentral:rRNA from 1 species
UACAGAGGGUGCAAGCGUUAUUCGGAAUUAUUGGGCGUAAAGCGCAUGUAGGCGGUUUGGUAAGUUUGAUGUGAAAGCCCCGGACUCAAUUCGGGAAGUGCAUUGAAUACUGCUAGACUAGAGUAUGGGAGAGGUGAGUGGAAUUCCAGGUGUAGAGGUGAAAUUCGUAGAUAUCUGGAGGAACAACAGAGGCGAAGGCGGCUCACUGGACCAUUACUGACGCUGUGGUGCGAAAGCGUGGGGAGCAAACAGG